rnacentral:rRNA from 1 species
UACGAAGAGGGCUAGCGUUGUUCGGAAUUACUGGGCGUAAAGCGCACGUAGGCGGAUUUGUUAGUCAGGGGUGAAAUCCAGGGGCUCAACCUCGGAACUGCCUUUGAUACUGCAAGUCUCGAGUCCGGAAGAGGUGAGUGGAAUUCCUAGUGUAGAGGUGAAAUUCGUAGAUAUUAGGAAGAACACCAGUGGCGAAGGCGGCUCACUGGUCCGGUACUGACGCUGAGGCGCGAAAGCGUGGGGAGCAAACAGG